CAGUCGCCACGGUAAUACAGAGGGUGCAAGCGUUAAUCGGAAUUACUGGGCGUAAAGCGCGCGUAGGUGGUUUGUUAAGUUGGAUGUGAAAUCCCCGGGCUCAACCUGGGAACUGCAUCCAAAACUGGCAAGCUAGAGUAUGGUAGAGGGUGGUGGAAUUUCCUGUGUAGCGGUGAAAUGCGUAGAUAUAGGAAGGAACACCAGUGGCGAAGGCAGCCCCCUGGGCCAACACUGACGCUCAUGCACGAAAGCGUGGGGAGCAAACAGGAUUAGAUACCCAGUAGUCCCUGUCUCUUAUACA
rnacentral:rRNA from 1 species